rnacentral:rRNA from 1 species
ACAGCAGUAGCCACGGGAAUACGGAGGGUGCAAGCGUUAUCCGGAUUUAUUGGGUUUAAAGGGUCCGUAGGCGGACUUAUAAGUCAGUGGUGAAAGCCUGUCGCUUAACGAUAGAACUGCCAUUGAUACUGUAAGUCUUGAGUAUAUUUGAGGUAGCUGGAAUAAGUAGUGUAGCGGUGAAAUGCAUAGAUAUUACUUAGAACACCAAUUGCGAAGGCAGGUUACCAAGAUAUAACUGACGCUGAGGGACGAAAGCGUGGGUAGCGAACAGGAUUAGAUACCCCAGUAGUCCCUGUCUCUUAUAC